CAUGGACUUCAAGUUGAUAAUAAUGACACAUCUUAUUUUGGGUUACUUCAAGAGGUCAUGAAAAAUGAUGGUCAAACGAAGCUCCAAAUGUCAAAUGGCACUGGUAGUGAUUGAUGUAUUCCUCUCAAGACUUUCCAAACACACUACAUAUCAUAAUUUUGGGAAGUCAUUUACUUAGUGCAUAUAAAGUGCUAGAGUGCAGUUUUCUCAAAGCUAUCAGGUGGUCCAAUCAAAUCAUCCUAGUGCACAACCCAGUAGGAGAGUAAUGUACCAAACAGGGAGCAGGCCGCACCUAGACAUGAAGUGGUUGCUCAACAA